rnacentral:rRNA from 1 species
AGAAUCUUCCGCAAUGGACGAAAGUCUGACGGAGCGACGCCGCGUGUAGGACGAAGGCCCUUGGGUUGUAAACUACUGUCACGAGUUAUGAAAGCGCAGCCGUUAAUACCGUCUGCGUUGACGUAAGCUCGAGAGGAAGCACCGGCUAACUCUGUGCCAGCAGCCGCGGUAACACAGAGGGUGCAAACGUUGUCCGGAAUCACUGGGCAUAAAGCGCACGUAGGCGGCUUGGUAAGUGUGGAGUGAAAGCCCACGGCUCACCCGUGGAACUGCUUCGCAUACUGCCUGGCUCGAGGACGGUAGGGGAGAGCAGAACUCCUGGAGGAGCGGUGAAAUGCGUAGAUAUCAGGAGGAAUACCAGUGGCGAAGGCGGCUCUCUGGUCCGUUUCUGACGCUGAGGUGCGAAAGCUAGGGUAGCGAAC